rfam:Triticum aestivum genome assembly, contig: Triticum_aestivum_CS42_TGACv1_scaffold_433077_5DL
AAUAUACUCCCUCCGUCCGAAAAAGCUUGUCCCUCAAAUGGAUGUAUCUAGCACCGCACUAGAUACAUCCAUUUGAGAGAUAAGCUGGGGACAAGUUUUUUCGGACGGAGGGAGUACCAC